UCCUCGGUAGCUCAAUGGCAGAGCAAGCGGCUGUUAACCGCUGGGCUGCAGGUUCGAGUCCUGCCCGGGGAGCCA
rnacentral:tRNA from 1 species